rnacentral:tRNA from 1 species
GCUGCUAUGGCUCAGUUGGCAGAGCACUUCCUUGGUAAGGAAGAGGUCACGCGUUCGAAUCGCGUUAGCAGCUCCA